CCUCAUAACUCGAUAAUCCACGUAUAAUCAACCUUCUCUUGAUAUAUCAGCAUGUGUACUGCCGUUGUAAGCACACCUCUAAAAGAAAGUAUGCUAUAAUGACUAAUAAUACUAGCCCAUAUACAUCAGGUCAAAGUGCAGCUAAUAAGGAGGUGAUGAUGGGUUACAACCAUAAAACAGACUAUAAACUAAGAAAUGAAAAAUCUUACCAAAGUGGACUUGGCCGUAAUCAAUUUACAAGUUAAAAAAAUGAAUAAAAAUCUAAGACAUGCACACAUCGCCCGUCACUCUAUCCUAAAGGUUAGAUAAGUCGUAACAAAGUAGGUGUAAUGGAAAUUGCACCUGUCGAAGUAUAGCAUAUAUAAUGCUUUUUACUUACACUAAAAACAAAGUUAAACAACUUACUUCGCUUAUAUACUACAAUCUUAUAAAAUUAAAAUAAUAGAAACAACUCAACAAACAAUAUAAGAAAAAUAAAAGUACAGAAAUGGAAAAAAUAAUAAAUAAUAGUAACUAUUAACAAUUGUACCUUGUGCAUUAUGGUUUUACAAGAAAAUUAUUAAAUACACAUAUCCCGAAUUCUAAAUGAGAUGCUUAACUACUGUCUAGAACCCAUUAAUUGCUGUAGAAAAAGCUUUAAGAGAUAGUUUAACAGAGGCUACAUACCAUCCGCAUAAGAAUAUAGCUGGUUUUCAACAAACAUUAUACAUUAAAACAUAUAAUAAUAUUAUAGUGUUAUAUUAUUGAGGAUAAGCCCAAUAGUAAUAGCAAUAAUAUACCCAUCCCAACUCAUACCCUUAGGCCUAAAAUCAGCCAACAAAAAUACUUUGCCGUAUAAACAAAGAUAUAAUACAUAUAUAAUAUAAAUGCAAAAUAAAGUUGAAAUAGAGGAUAAACUAACAAUCCUUCUAUACUAUGUAAAAAUAAGUAUUAUAAUUAUAUAACACACUCCUCAAGCAUAUAACACCAUGUAAGAUAACAAUAAUUAAUUAAGGAACUCGGCAAACCAUCAUUUCGACUGUUUAACAAAAACAUUGUCUCAUGUAUAAAAUAUGAGAUAAUAUCUGCCCA
rnacentral:rRNA from 1 species